ACAGCUUCCAUGAUGUGUGAUAGAAAGGAUGAAGGACAUUUUUCCCUUGGUCAGAGAAAGAAGUAACUUGCUUUCAUUCUGGAACCCAGUUUGGCAUAGAAUUUACUCUGUAGCUGAGGAUGGCCAUGAACUUAAAACCAUUUUGACACAGCCUAUUUAGUGCUGGGAUUAAAGGCAGAGAGGGGGAAGGCAGAGACAGGAAGAUCCCUGGAAGCUUGCUGGCCAGCUGAUCAGUCACUAUGGGGGAACUCCCAAGACAACAAGAAACUGUGUCUCAAACAACAGAUAGAAGGUAUCUGAAGAUCAACACCUGAACUUGUCCACUUGACUCCAGACACCUGCCAUAUUUCAUAUGCAUUUAUAUUCAUACAUACACAUCAAAUUUAUU